UGGGGAAUAUUGCACAAUGGGCGAAAGCCUGAUGCAGCAACGCCGCGUGGAGGAUGAAGGCCUUCGGGUUGUAAACUCUUGUCUUCUGGGACGAUAAUGACGGUACCAGAGGAGGAAGCCACGGCUAACUACGUGCCAGCAGCCGCGGUAAUACGUAGGUGGCAAGCGUUGUCCGGAUUUACUGGGCGUAAAGGAUGCGUAGGCGGAUAUUUAAGCGGGAUGUGAAAUACCCGGGCUCAACCUGGGUGCUGCAUUCCAAACUGGAUAUCUGGAGUGCGGGAGAGGAAAGUGGAAUUCCUAGUGUAGCGGUGAAAUGCGUAGAGAUUAGGAAGAACACCCGUGGCGAAGGCGACUUUCUGGACCGUAACUGACGCUGAGGCAUGAAAGCGUGGGGAGCAAACA
rnacentral:rRNA from 1 species